rnacentral:rRNA from 1 species
UCAACUUGAGAGUUUGAUCCUGGCUCAGAACGAACGCUGGCGGCAGGCUUAACACAUGCAAGUCGAGCGCCUCGCA